AGUCGAGCGGAGAUGAGGUGCUUGCACCUUAUCUUAGCGGCGGACGGGUGAGUAAUGCUUAGGAAUCUGCCUAUUAGUGGGGGACAACAUUCCGAAAGGAAUGCUAAUACCGCAUACGCCCUACGGGGGAAAGCAGGGGAUCUUCGGACCUUGCGCUAAUAGAUGAGCCUAAGUCGGAUUAGCUAGUUGGUGGGGUAAAGGCCUACCAAGGCGACGAUCUGUAGCGGGUCUGAGAGGAUGAUCCGCCACACUGGGACUGAGACACGGCCCAGACUCCUACGGGAGGCAGCAGUGGGGAAUAUUGGACAAUGGGCGGAAGCCUGAUCCAGCCAUGCCGCGUGUGUGAAGAAGGCCUUUUGGUUGUAAAGCACUUUAAGCGAGGAGGAGGCUACUUAGAUUAAUACUCUAGGAUAGUGGACGUUACUCGCAGAAUAAGCACCGGCUAACUCUGUGCCAGCAGCCGCGGUAAUACAGAGGGUGCGAGCGUUAAUCGGAUUUACUGGGCGUAAAGCGUGCGUAGGCGGCUGAUUAAGUCGGAUGUGAAAUCCCUGAGCUUAACUUAGGAAUUGCAUUCGAUACUGGUCAGCUAGAGUAUGGGAGAGGAUGGUAGAAUUCCAGGUGUAGCGGUGAAAUGCGUAGAGAUCUGGAGGAAUACCGAUGGCGAAGGCAGCCAUCUGGCCUAAUACUGACGCUGAGGUACGAAAGCAUGGGGAGCAAACAGGAUUAGAUACCCUGGUAGUCCAUGCCGUAAACGAUGUCUACUAGCCGUUGGGGCCUUUGAGGCUUUAGUGGCGCAGCUAACGCGAUAAGUAGACCGCCUGGGGAGUACGGUCGCAAGACUAAAACUCACAUGAAUUGACGGGGGCCCGCACAAGCGGUGGAGCAUGUGGUUUAAUUCGAUGCA
rnacentral:rRNA from 1 species